rnacentral:rRNA from 1 species
GACGGAGGAUGCAAGCGUUAUCCGGAAUGAUUGGGCGUAAAGCGUCCGCAGGUGGCAGUUCAAGUCUGCUGUCAAAGACCGGGGCUUAACUUCGGAAAGGCAGUGGAAACUGAACAGCUAGAGUAUGGUAGGGGCAGAGGGAAUUCCUGGUGUAGCGGUGAAAUGCGUAGAGAUCAGGAAGAACAUCGGUGGCGAAGGCGCUCUGCUGGACCAUAACUGACACUGAAACACGAAAGCGUGGGUAGCGAAUGGG